GACGAAGGUGGCGAGCGUUGUUCGGAAUCACUGGGCAUAAAGCGCACGUAGGCGGCGACGUAAGUUGGGUGUGAAAUCCCUCGGCCCAACCGAGGAACUGCGCCCAGUACUGCGUUGCUUGAGGAUCCAAGGGGUGCAUGGAAUUCCUGGUGGAGCGGUGAAAUGCGUUGAUAUCGGGAGGAACUCCGGCGGCGAAAGCGGUGCACUGGUGGAUUUCUGACGCUGAGGUGCGAAAGCCAGGGGAGCAAACGGG
rnacentral:rRNA from 1 species